rnacentral:rRNA from 1 species
GCCAGACUCCUACGGGAGGCAGCAGUGGGGGAUAUUGGACAAUGGGGGAAACCCUGAUCCAGCGACGCCGCGUGAGUGAAGAAGUAUUUCGGUAUGUAAAGCUCUAUCAGCAGGGAAGAAAGAAAUGACGGUACCUGAGUAAGAAGCCCCGGCUAACUACGUGCCAGCAGCCGCGGUAAUACGUAGGGGGCAAGCGUUAUCCGGAAUUACUGGGUGUAAAGGGAGCGUAGACGGUUAAGCAAGUCUGGAGUGAAAGGCGGGGGCCCAACCCCCGGACUGCUCUGGAAACUGUGUAACUAGAGUGCAGGAGAGGUAAGCGGAAUUCCUAGUGUAGCGGUGAAAUGCGUAGAUAUUAGGAGGAACACCAGUGGCGAAGGCGGUCAACUGGACAGCAACUGACGCUGAGGCGCGAAAGCGUGGGGAGCAAACAGGAUUAGAUACCCUUGUAGA